rnacentral:rRNA from 1 species
CCCUUAGAUGUUCUGGGCCGCACGCGUGCUACACUGAGUGGAUCAGCGGGUCAGGUUGCGCGAAAGCGUUUCCUAAUCUUUAAAUCCGCUCGUGAUGGGGAUUGACGGUUGCAAUUUUCUGUCAUGAACGAGGAAUACCUUGUAAGCGCGGGUCAUCAUCCCGCGCUGAAUACGUCCCUGCCCUUUGUACACACCGCCCGUCGCUCCUACCGAUUGGAUGGUCCGGUGAACUUUUUGGACUUGUAGCAAUGUUAUGAGAAAGUUAAGUAAACCUUAUCAUUUAGAGGAAGGAAAAGUCGUAACA